CCGCGGUAAUACGUAGGGGGCGAGCGUUGUCCGGAUUUAUUGGGCGUAAAGGGCGUGUAGGCGGCCUGGUAAGUCGGGGGUGAAAGCCCCGGGCUCAACCUGGGAAGUGCAUUCGUGACUGCAAGGCUAGAGUGUGUCAGAGGGAGGUGGAAUUCCGCGUGUAGCAGUGAAAUGCGUAGAGAUGCGGAGGAACACCGAUGGCGAAGGCAGCCUCCUGGGAUAACACUGACGCUCAGGCACGAAAGCGUGGGGAGCAAACAGG
rnacentral:rRNA from 1 species